CACCUCUCAGGGUUGCACCUGGAGAGUUUCUGGUACUCUACCAGUCUCGACUACGGGAGGGAAAGUCAAGCAGAGGCCUAUCCAUUCCAUUUUUAGCUUGGGCAGUGGCUAGCAGUGGAAGGCAAUCUGCUACAAGU
rnacentral:snoRNA from 1 species